UCCUCUUCUACUCCUUUGUCAAGUACUGGGAUUAUCGCUACUACUGAUCCCACCUUCAAUAAUCAAACUCUGGUGGUCCUUAAUGUUGCAUCUUAGGCCCCACUUCGUAUCACAUCCACAAAUUACUUUUCUUGGCGUGCUCAAUGGAAUGCACUUCUAGUUGCAUAUGAUAUAUAUGGUUAUUUAAAUGGUAGUUUGCCAUGUCCUUCUCCUCUCCUCACAGUGUCAUCUUCUGAUUUCAAUUCUUAAACACUUCUAGCAUAUAUCUUCUAGAAUCGCCAAGACAAGUUCAUUCUUAAUGCUCUCCUCGUUUCCAUUUCCAUUGAUGUCUCUCAUUUUGUCUCCACUGCCAAAACUUCAUAUGAAGUUUGGAACAAACUCUCCAAAAUAUGUGCUAAACCUUCCACAUCACACAUUCUUCAUCUAUGGAAAAAAUUGAUUCGAACACAAGGGUCUCAUACUGUUUAAGAUUAUCUUCUGACUUCAACACAACAUUUCUUGAGGAUGAUCUCAUUUUGUAUAUUGUUAAUGGGUUGUCUUCAGCACUCAAAGACGUUUCUAUCACCAUUCGAACAAGGAAUGAUUUCAUCUCUUUUGAGGAUCUUCAUGAAUAGCUAGUUGAGCAUAGAUCUUAUCUCAAACGAAUUGACUCUCAGUCUAAAAAUCAAGUUGUCACUGCUCAUCUGGCAAACAAAUCUCUAUUAAAGCCUAACUAUGCUUCCCGCAGAAACUCCUAUAGAUCCAAUUCAUCUUCUCCUCAACAAUUGUUCUCUCUAUCCAGUGGGUCUUGUUAUAGUACUCCUACAAGAUCAAGUGCAUACAAAGGAAAAUGCCAACUAUGUGAUUAACAAAGGCCUUCAGCUAAGUUUUGUCCUUCCUUAAAGGAACAAUGGACAUAACUCCUCAAAGAUCAUUUCACACACGUGGGCUAGCACCAACACCUCAAGCUUUUCAUUCAACUUCCACACAACAAGGCAAUUCAUUGACUACCAGGAUUCUUGGACUUGCAAACAGGCUUGAUUCUUCUCAAAGGUCUACAUAAAGGAGGAACAUAUGAAUGGCCAUCUGUCACCCAGAAACAAGAAUCUUAUCAAUCCAUUCAUGCUCUUACUAGCUUAAAAAGCAAUUCUUUAAGAAUGGCAUCAACGUCUAGGUCAUCCUUCUAAUUGUAUAAUUUGCACAACAAUUUCAGCUUCUUCUUUUCCAGUUUCUUCUAGUCAAAAUUUUCAUUGUUCAUCUUGCAAAUGUAAUAAGAUGCACAAACUUCAAUUUGAUAUCUCAUCAAUGUAUAGUUCUCAGCCUUUGCAAUUUAUUUAUUCUGAUGUUUGAGGUCC